GUGAGGGGGUGACUAGUGACAGAGUGAGGGAAGGGGUGACUAGUGGCAGAGUGAGGGAAGGGGUGACUAGUGGCACAGUGAGGGAAGGAAGGGGUGACUAGUGACAGAGUGAGGGAGGUGGUGACUGUCACUAGUCACCACCUCCCUCACUGUCACUAAUCCCUCCCUCCUUCUGUCACUAGUCACGCCCUCCCUCACUCUGUCACAUGUCAUCCCCUCCCUCACUCUGUCACCAGUCAUCCCCUUCCCUCACUCUGUCACCCCCUCACUCUGUCACUAGUCACCCCCUCAC